rnacentral:rRNA from 1 species
UAGGGAAUCUUCCGCAAUGGGCGAAAGCCUGACGGAGCAACGCCGCGUGAGUGAUGAAGGUCUUCGGAUCGUAAAACUCUGUUAUUAGGGAAGAACAAAUGUGUAAGUAACUAUGCACGUCUUGACGGUACCUAAUCAGAAAGCCACGGCUAACUACGUGCCAGCAGCCGCGGUAAUACGUAGGUGGCAAGCGUUAUCCGGAAUUAUUGGUCGUAAAGCGCGCGUAGGCGGUUUUUUAAGUCUGAUGUGAAAGCCCACGGCUCAACCGUGGAGGGUCAUUGGAAACUGGAAAACUUGAGUGCAGAGGAGGAAAGUGGAAUUCCAUGUGUAGCGAUGAAAUGCGCAGAGAUAUGGAGGAACACCAGGGGCGAAGGCGACUUUCUGGUCUGUAACUGACGCUGAUGUGCGAAAGCGUGGGGAUCAAACAGG